GGGAGCGCGCACGCCGAUAGAGAGCGCGGCAGUUUGUCAAAGCGGGACAACGCGAAAGGAACGCAGCUGAAAAGCUGCCCAACGAAAAGCUGAGAAGCGUUUGGUGAAUUGAGCAAAAUCCCCCAAAUUACCACGGCAAACUGUCAGUGAAGAGGAAAACAAGAAUUUGUUCUCCAGUCAGUUACAAACGGAUGUUGACUGAAUCCAGAUCGGGGGCUGCCAGCUCCAGUCCGCGGCUGUGGGCUGGAGUGUUUCUGCACGGCUGAUCUCUCCUGCUCACCGUGGCUGUGGGCUGGAGUGUUUCUGCACGGCUGAUCUCUCCUGCUCCCCGUGGCUGUGGGCUGGAGUGUUUCUGCACGGCUGAUCUCUCCUGCUCCC